GCCAGCUGCUCCUGGGCCACGGCCCGGCGGCUCAGGUAGCGGCCAUGCUCCAGCUCUGCGUCCUGGCGGGCGGCGUCCGGCCCAUCCAGGUCCAUCCUCGGCCUGCUUCGCCGCCUCUCUGGAGACGGAACGUCUGCCGAAGGAGAAGGAGGGAUCCUCAGCGGCGGCCCGGCUUCCCGGGAAAUCGGGGUUCCUUCUCCCGCUCAAAGGCGGUGGCCGCGGGAGCCUUCCGGCGCCGAGGCGAACAAUGGCACCGAGUGGGAGGUGGGCGCUGCGCCGCGAGUGCCGGAGCGGCACCGCCCCCGCGCAGCCCCGCCCCGGGCGGGCCGCCACACACGGAGCGAAGGAAGGGAGCCACCCCCGGGAGUCCGGACCCUCCUCCCCAGCCGGUUCCGGAGCAUCUCGUUUCCCUGCGACGCGCCCGUACCCGAUCUGCCUGAUGUUCACGCUCUUUUAUUCUGAAUCAGAAAAAGGUGAAUAAACGGUCUAGGAACUGCAUGAAGUAAUGAACUGCAUAACCACAGGUACCUUGCAGUGAAGAAUGUGAUAGUUUGAGUUGAAGGUGAAGACAGCCUCACCAGAAGUAAAGGCGCACUGAUGCAGCUGUGUCCUGCAGGCAGGAAUCUGCCAAGCCCCUCGUUCUUCCCCAGCUGCUGCCCUUGGAGGUUACUGGACCUGCGCUGCGUUCAGAUGAAAAUAGUGACACCUGGAUUGUGAAAUGUGCUCCUGAAAGAAAACUUCCAAAUGGAUUAAGAAACUCUUACCAACCAGGACAUUGGACAGAAUAUAUGGGCAGAGUUUUUGUCUACUUGGGAGACAAUGGUGUCAAAGAAGAUGAGAUGAAAAGAACUAUGACAACAAUUCCUUUCACUGCGGGAAUGAUAGAUCUUCUGGGAUUUAUUGGCGAGAACAAGCACUUGUUUGAUUGUAUAAUUGUUUCAGAUUCUAAUACAGUAUUUAUUGACUGGAUUUUGAAAGCUGCUGACUUCCAUAAUGUGUUUGAUGAAGUGUUUACAAACCCUGCAGCAUUCAGCAGUACUGGUUAUCUCACUGUACAGCACUUCCAUGCUCACCAUUGUGCAAAGUGCCCUAAAAACCUUUGCAAAAGGAAAGUUUUAAAAGAAUUUCUAGAUAAACAGUUAGAGCGAGGAGUGAGUUAUACAAAAAUUGUAUAUAUAGGUGAUGGUGGGAAUGACCUAUGUCCAGUAAUGUUUUUGAAGAAGAAUGAUGUUGCUAUGCCCAGGCAGGGCUAUACCUUGGAGAGAAAGAUUUCUCAACUGGCCCAGAGUCUCAGUCCCGUACAGUGUUCUGUUCUGGUUUGGUCAUCUGCAAUCGACAUUAUGUCGUACCUGAAACUGCUUAUAAAGGAAUGAUUAAAAUGAUAAAAGGAAACUGGUGCAGUUACAUUUUAACUUAUUGGGAGAGAAAAACUGCAUGUGUAUAAAAGCUCAAAAUUGUAAAAUUGGCUAUUACCUGAAAUGAUGGGUUUUUCAACCAUGACAUAAAACUGUUUAUGUUCAAUCCUAGUAAUAAUAGGAAAAAAAGGCAGUAAAAAAAGGCCUUCUAACAGUACAGAUUCCAACUAAGUGGAGAAGGGGUGUUGGGACAGGACUUAUCAUUAGUUUUUGUCUACUCCCUCCCCUCCAACCCUUUCCCAAGUAUAUAACUGACGUUUUACAAUCCCACAGACUUAGGGGAAGGAGUAGCAUUACUAUUCAAAAUAACUAAAUUCUUUACUUAGAAAAUAUUAGGUGCCAGGAGCAUGGUUCUGGAGCUGUUGGCUUUUAUACUUCUUUGAUCUGAUGGCAGAUUAUUUGUUGUAAUCUUGUUUAAUCAAAAGAUGCAUUUAUAUUUUUAAUCUAUUAAAUAUUUUACCAGACAAAAUUACUUUUUAAUAGUUUGUAUUAUCUUGUAUUGUAAAGACAAUAAAAGUUGCUGUCACUGACAAAUGCAACACAACUAA